rnacentral:rRNA from 1 species
UACCCGCGGUCCAAGUCGCAGCCAUCAUUAUUGGGUCUAAAACAUCCGUAGCUUGCUUAAUAAGUUUCUUGUGAAAUUCCAUGUCUUAAAUAUGGAGCGGGCAAGAAGUACUGUUGAGCUAGAGACUGGAAGACGUAAGAAGUAUGUUUGGAGUAGCGGUAAAAUGUGUUAAUCCCAGACAGACUAACAACAGCGAAGGCAUCUUACGAGGACAGUUCUGACAGUAAGGGAUGAAGGCUAGGGGCGCGAAAGG